rnacentral:lncRNA from 1 species
GCGCUCGUCUUCGCCAAGCAGAUCCUCGCCUUCUCCGCGGCCUCCACGACCUACUCCGGCGACCGCUACUCGCUCGCCGAGCUCCUCCGCAGGCUGACCAAGUGGGCCAACCUGAGAGGCCCUCUCGUCACCAUGGGCGUGGUCACCGCGCUCCAGCUCACGUUCAUGGCGCUCCUGGGCGCCUACCUCUCCACCGUCAUGCGCCACGCGGGGGCGCUGUCCGUGCAAGGCGCGCUCUUCGUCCUCGCCUUCCUGGCCUUCAUGUACUUCGGGGUGGUGGCGGUGGUGGGCGUCGCCGUGUCGGUGGCCGACGAGGAGUGCCGCGGCGUGCGCGCGAUCCUGCGGGCGUGGCGGCUCAUGACGCGGGUGAGCAGGAAGGAGGGCGCCCUGCUGGCGGCGGUGAUGGUCCUCCUGUCGACCGCUGUGAGCCCGGUGUAUGCGCUAGCGCUCGUGUACGCCAAGAAGAGCAUGGCGGUGGGGCUGUGCCUGCUGUUUGGGUAUGCUCUUCUUUCUGCUGCGGUGGAGCUGUUCUACAUGGCGGCGGCCACGGUGUACUACUAUGAGGCCAUGGAGAGCAAGGAGGUGGUCCUGGCUUUUGAUGGCUACUAUGCCGAGAUACCUUCCCGUGAGGCAAAUGUCUGAUUGAUCGGCCGGCACCGUAUAAUGAGUCAUAUACUUUGUGGUGCUUCCUAGCUGUUCAUUAUCAUUGUACUACUACGUGUAUAUGUUACUAUGUCAGUCCUCGAUCAUAUAUACAGAAAAGUAGGCAAAAUCAGCAGCCAUCGGCCCCUCCAGCCAGGCAGAUGUUUGUUCUCAAGGACGCCAUUCACUUUUGGGUGCUUUCCGCUUUGCGGCGGAGAGGAUCAUCCAUGGAUCUGCGUGGCCGGGAAUGGAUUCUAGUUCCGAUUAGAUCUGAGUGGACAGGUAUUCUUGAUUUACCCUCGCUUGAUUUUUGGGAUUAUCCACUCUUUUGGUGUGAGUACAUCUCAGGAACGUUGCCUUCUUCGGGCAGGUUCCCCUUGCCUGCGAUUGGGGGCGAUGAGUACACACCGGGGGCGCACCCCGUGGCAGAUCUGCUGAGCAGGGUAGCCGAGUCCGGCAUUGGCAAUGUUGGAGUUGUGUCGAAUAUUGUGUACAAGGUAGGUUACAGUUGGACUUAUAGUUGUACCGUGUUUACAUAGGAUGUGGAGUCGUGUCCUAGUAGGACACUUGUAUCCUAGGCCUCUCUUAUAUAGUGGGGGUAGACACACAAUGUAACCUAUGCCAGCAUAAUAACACAGGAACGCAGGGGAAGCCAGCGGCAUGUGCCGGCGUCCAGAGCGACCUGGUGUGGUAUUGUGAUGGUGUCACGGGGAGGAGCGCCCGUAGUCAAGCCCCGGGGAUGUAGCCAUAUCGGUGAACCUCGUUAACAAAUCUUGGUGUCGUGCUUGUGUGAUUGCUUGGUCCUCGGAUGAUCGACGGAGUGCCUCGGAUUUAUUCUAUCAAGUGGUAUCAGAGCUAGGUUGUUCGAAGGUUGCUGAAUUGUUGAUCUAGAGGAAAGAUUGUUCGAGAGUUGGGCGAGUACAAGGGCAGCGGAUUGGAUCAAUCCGAUCGGGAGUAACUCGAUGGCGGCUGCAAGCGUGUCACGCACGGACCAGGAGGUGUCGCUCGGUCGAGGCGCGGUCGAGCAAACCGCAACAGCAGGAGUUGUCGGUCUCUUGGAGUCGACCAGAUCGAUUGAGAUGCGGCGGCAGGAGCCCUACUUGCGCGAGCAGUCCAGCAAGCAGUCGGGCUAACGGGCCAGGAGUACGCACGCAUGGGCGGAGGCCCCAAGUGUGUUUUUGUUGCACUCAUAGGUAGAGUCCAGCAAGCCGGGCGUGCAGGUGGCCUAUGCAGGCUGCAUUGAAGAUUUGUUUUGGAAACAAAAGGAGACCGAGUCUCCAUAGUACACGGACAGGCAGGCAAAUCAGUCAGCGGCAAAGAUCCGUCAAGCGUGUUCAUCAGAAGGACUACUUGCGUAGGCGUUGGCAAGGCAAAGGCAACUAGCCAGCAUUAAAAAAAAUUGUGCAAGGGAGCCGAUCCACCACGUGAAGGCCAAAGAUUUUAAUUCUCUUGGUUUUGCUUUAGUAGCACGCAGAGGUUCUGUCCGUGUGUUUGGGGCGUUGUGUGGAAAGCUCGGAUAAUUUUUUGCAGGGUCAGCCAUACAAAGAACUAUGGCGCCAACGGGUACCAAGUUUGAGGUGGAGAAGUUCACGGGACAGAAAACCUUGGGUUAUGACAGACAAGGGUGGAAAAUUUGUUGGCACAACAGAGAUGCUUGAAGGCGUUGCGAGAAGUCAUGUCAGCUGAGAUGGAAAUUCAUAAAAGACGAUUUGGGAGCCUUGAGCGUGUUGUUGCAGUCAGACACAUACACUACUAGGAAAAGGCCUACUAAUGGCGCACCAGUUUUGUCUACUAAUGGCGCAUCACUAGUGCGCCAUUACUAGCACGCCAUUAGUAAUUUUUACUAAUGGCGCACCACCGAUGCGCCAUUAGUAUCUGGUAUACUAAUGGCGCACCACUGGUGCGCCAUUAGUAUAGGCCACGGUGCGCCAUUAGUAUUUUUGAAUUUUGAAGGCGGGAAAAUAGUAGUGGCGCAUCGUCUAACCCCCACCGUGCGCCAUUGCUAUUUUUGAAUUUUAAAUUUGAAUCUGGAUCGUGAUUUUUUUGCCCAUUUUUUGCUAGUUUUUUUUGCUCAUUUUUUGGCACGAUAUUAUUUCAAAUUUUGUUCCUGUUUUUGGAUCUUGUACGUUCUUUUGCCGUGUUCUUUUGCCAGAGAGGAGUUCGCCGGAGAGGAGGAGGAGGAGGUCACCGGAGAGGCGCUCGCCUACAUCACCGGAGAGGAGGAGGAGGUCGCCGGAGAGGAGUUCACCGAAGCAUCGGAGAGGGGGAAGGAGAAACCAUGAGGGAAUGGGAGGAGAGGAGGGAGGAGAAACCGUGAGGGGAGGGAAGGGGAGGAGAGGAGGGAGGAGGAGGUUCCCGAAGAGGAGGAGGUCGUCGGAGAGGAGGAGGAGGUCGCCGGAGAGGAGGAGGAGGUCGCCGUAGAGGAGGAGGAGGUCGCCGGAGAGGAGAAGGAGGUCGCCGGAGAGGAGGAGAAGGAUUGGAGGAGAGGAGAGGAGGAGAUGGAGUGGAGGAGAGGAGAGGAGAUGGAGUGGAGGAGAGGUGGAGUGGAGGAGGUGCGCCCAGCCAUAUAUACGACAUAGUAAUGGCGCACCGUGGGCAGGUGCGCCACUACUAAUUUUUAUUUUUAUUUUUUUGACUUAUUUUGAAUUUUGAAGGCGGGGAAGAUAUUAAUGGCGCACCAUAGGCCGGUGCGCCAUUAGUAACUUUUUUUUUUAUUUUUUGACUUAUUUUGAAUUUUAAAGGCGGGAAGAUACUAAUGGCGCACCAUGGGCAGGUGCGCCAUUAGUUACUUUAUUUUUUAUUUUUUUGACUUAUUUUAAAUUUUGAAGGCGGGAAGAUAGUAAUGGCGCACCAUGGGCAGGUGCACCAUUAGUUACUUUUUUUUAUUUUUUUGACUUAUUUUAAAUUUUGAAAGCGGGAAGAUACUAAUGGCGCACCAUGGGCAGGUGCGCCAUUAGUGAGUUUCAAUUUUUUUGAAUUUUUUUGCCUCUCCAGAUCUUAAAAGCCCCGUAUCUUUUUUUCUGUUAGGUUUUUGAGGAUUUUGAAAAUGUUUAACGGGGUUCCCCAGGUUAAAUUCGGAUGUAACUUUUCGAGUAGAUGAUUUUUCAUAUAAAAAACUUUUUCAUCCGAGUUAGUAUGCAAAAGUUAUGCCCAUUUUUACAAAUUCUCGAGAGAUUUUGCAAAUGAAGUCGAAAUUCAUAUUUGCAAAUUUUCCCAACAAAUAGACCACAUAUCACAUGGAAAACUUAUUUUCUUUUAUUUUGUUGACAUUUUCAUCAUUUUCUUUUAUUUUUUUUAAAACUGAAAAGGCGAUCCACCGGGGGGGGGGGGUGUGCAUUCAGUGGAAGUGGUGGCCAAGUUACUAAUGGCGCACCGUGGCAUGGUGCGCCAUUACUAGUUCAACUAGUAAUGGCGCACCACUCCCACGGUGCGCCAUUAGUAGUUUUGACAAAAAAAUUUAAUUUUUUUUACUAAUGGCACACCCGCGAUGUGGUGCGCCAUUAGUAUUUGGACACUAAUGGCAUACCAACACAUGGUGCGCCAUUAGUAUAUAGUAAUGGCGCACCACGUGUCUGGUGCGUCAUUAGUGUCAAUUCCAUCUAUAGCCCUUUUCCUAGUAGUGAUAGGGCAGUUGGCCUGGACAGUCUGACGGAUCGACGCAAGUCGGUUGGUACAGAAGACGGUGGUGGGAUCGGCGAAGACGACGUAGGAGCGUGAUGCUGAUGGUGACCGACUUCUGGGCGUGGAAACACGCGGUGCACAUGUCCGAGGCUUGUGCGGCUUCGACAAGACCAUGGCGCGGGAUUGAUUCAAGGUGGUGUAUACACGGAGCUUGAAGUCGAUGAGGCGUAGGGGUGGACUGAUCAUCUACCAUGGAGUCAUGUUGAAGGUGGAGCUGGAUUGAGGGGCUACGGCGUAAGUCGACGGGGUCGGAGCCUAUUCAGCAGGUGAAAAAAAAGCGAGAGACACGUAGUUCGGACUGGAGCCCAGUGGUCUGAUGGAAGCGUGAAAGUCGUCAUCGGUCGGUGAUGAUCGGUGGUACUCUGUAGUGGAGGUUGAGUGGUGUGGGUUCGCGACCCUUGAGACUCGACCAGGAUAGUGGAGGCUCGACGCGGUAAUAGCGGCGAGGCGUGCGGUACGCACGGGACAUGGAGACGGGCCAGGGCUCUGGUGGUCAUACAUGUGGUGAGACAACUGCGAAUUUGACUCGGGAUGAUUACAAGCAACGGUGAAAUUCUUUCAAGUUUCAGACAGGCAGUCAAGAAAGGAGUGGUGAUGUUGAGUUCAGGUAACUCUUAUGUGUGACACCCAAUAUGUGAGUUGUUCAUUUUCAUGCAGGUCAGUGAUCAGUGUGUGAUGGCGUUGAACUGAUACUCUGGAAGUUGGGAGCGCAAACUAGAGUAAUGUGGAACUUGAUUUUUGCUCGAGUGUUGACUGUGGUCAAGAAAAAGAAGGGACUACAAGUUGCAGGUGGAGUCACAUGGAGUCUUUGGAGUAGCAGCGGUGCUCAUGGGAUAAACUCAAGUCCAAUGUACAUGGAAGUUUGACGCAUGGACGAACUCAAGGUGGUGGAGAAUAUUCGCCAAGGUGGAGUUUGUUGGAGUUGUGUCGAAUAUUGUGUACAAGGUAGGUUACAGUUGGACUUGUAGUUGUACCGUGUUUACAUAGGAUGUGGAGUCGUGUCCUAGUAGGACACUUGUAUCCUAGGCCUCUCUUAUAUAGUGAGGAUAGACACACGAUGUAACCUAUGCCAGCCUAAUAACACAGGAACGCAGGGGAAGUCGGCGGCAUGUGCCGGCGUCCAGGGCGACCUGGUGUGGUAUUGUGAUGGUGUCACGGGGAGGAGCGCCCGUAGUCAAGCCCCGGGGAUGUAGCCAUAUCGGUGAACCUCGUUAACAAAUCUUGGUGUCGUGCUUGUGUGAUUGCUUGGUCCUCGGAUGAUCGACGGAGUGCCUCAGAUUUAUUCUAUCAGGCAAGGUGGGGGAUGCGCCACCUGAUGAAGACAUGUACCUAGGGUAGGGUCAUGGACCUAUCUAGGAUACUCUACCCAAGGACAUCCUUAGAAGAAGCUACCUUCUAGUCGACCAAGAGGGACUUCACUCGACGAACUCAAGGACACUCGACGAUGAAGAUAGCCAUUCGACCAUGAAGCUAACCACUCGACGGCCAGGAGACCUAAAGUCACUCAACACGCAACGGUCUAUCAUUAAGUAGCUUUAAUAAUCUUCAUGGCACUUUAUGAGGGCGUUACCAGUAACCCCUGUCUUAAUGUACUUUAAACCCUACAUAACUGAGGGCCGGAGGGGUCUGGCGAACUCUAUAUAAGCCACCCCCUCCUCAGUGUAAAGGGUUCGCACCCCUGUAACUCAUAUACACAGAAACCAGUCGACCGCCUCCGGGCUUUGAGACGUAGGGCUAUUACUUCCUCCGAGAAGGGCCUGAACUCGUAAAACACUCGUGUGUACAACUACUCCAUAGCUAGGAUCUUGUCUCUCCAUUCCUAUCCCCCAUUCUACUGUCAGACUUAGAACCACGACAGUUGGCGCCCACCGUGGGGCAGGUGUCUUAGCGACUUUUUGGAGAAGUUGCAAUUUCUCCGAUUGCCUUCAUCAUGGUUUCUGGCGGAGCUCUGGUCGAGGGCCGCGAGAUCCGUCGCAGUGCGCUCGCUUUCAUCGCCAACGACUCCGCUUGGCUCCAGGAGGCACCACUCGACAUCGACGCGCUCCCCAUCCGCGGGGCGACGCACUUUCGGGCGUGUGCCCGCGGCGUCCUGCUGCGGCAGCCAUCGACCCCAUACCGGUCGACUCCCGUGUCGUCCUCCCUCCCUGUCUCCCGCCAGCGCAAGCGCUCCGGUCGGUCGAGGCUUCAGCGGUGGGUGAGACACGCAGUGGCUCGCCAAUCGGCCACCACCCAAGUCGCGGCAAUUGAGCCCAACGAACCUCUCUACGGCCUGUUCGAUCUGUCAACUGGCUCCAUAGAGACUGCAUCCGAGUGCGAUAGCAGUGAUCCAGCGGCGGAGGUCCUGAUGGUCAACGGGCCUCGUAGCCCUCCCGGUUUCCCCCGCAUCGACGGGAUGGACGAUGGAGGCGAUCCCGCUCGGGCCCACGAAGAAUAUCAGCCCGAGCCACUCACUUCUCAGCAAAGAGAAGAUCUUUGCCGCCGGAACAUGGAUGCCCUGCAUACUCCCAUCACAGGAGAAACUCCUGAGGCUCGUGCUUUGGAAGAGGCGCGUUUGGCCAACUUGGCUGAACGCACUUGACUGGAGAACCUCCAGCGAGCACUCGAUGAGCGCGCGCGUCAAUGAGUACCUGACUCCAGCCGACGUCUGCUCUUUCCGCAACCGACUCAGGUAUAUCGAACCCCGAUUCAGAAUUUAGCAGCUGCAGCCCGUAUAGCGGAGUCAAUUCAGCCAUCUCAGUCGGAGGCUGGAAGAGGCUUGAUGUAGAUCAGGGAUUUGCUCCGGGCGGCAGGAGAUCAGAAUUCAGUUGUGUCACAGUCGUGCAACAGGAUUCACAAUCAAUCCGUCGCUGCGAAUACUGUUCAGUCGGCUCACAGCCCAAGGUCACCUCCGAGGCGCGUGGGACGUGAAGGCCGGCGGGACCACUAUGAUGACCGAUUUGAUCGAGAUGAUAGGCGUCGAGUGCCCACUCCUCCCCCGAGAAGUGGGUCUAACACCCAUCGGUAGCAAGAUGACAGGCGCCAGCUCAGUGUUGGGCGGAGAGCUCCGGUCGACCCCAGAGAACCAGGCUUUGACGCGAGAUCCAUCAUCGUGCAAGGUUUGGUCGAUCGGAACAGAGCUCAUAGAGGUGGCCAUGACAGAGAUGUGCCCACUAGCAGCCGAGUCCAUGUUUCAGGUCCAGAAUGCUUUAGCAGAGCCAUCAGAGCCGCAGUGGUACCCCCAACUUCAGGUUGGCGACUGGGGUAAGUAAGUUCACCGGAGAGUCCAAGCCUGAAACUUGGCUUGAAGACUACCGAGUGGCGGUGCAGAUUGGUGGUGGUAAUGAUGAGGUGGCCAUGAAGCAUUUACCACUCAUGCUAGAGGGUUCGGCCAGGGUGUGGUUGAAUCAGUUAGCUCCUAGCAGCAUUUACACCUGGGAAGAUCUUUCCCAAGUGUUCGUCAGGAUGUUCAAGGGAACUUGCAAGCGACCGGCCGGAUUAACGGAGCUGCAAGUCUGCGUACAAAAGUCGAGUGAAACAUUGAGAGAUUACAUCCAGAGAUGGAUCACUUUGCAUCAUACCGUGGAGAAUGUGUCGGACCAUCAAGCGGUCUGCGCCUUCAAGAAUGGUGUCAAGAACAGAGAGUUGAGCCUGAAGUUUGGUCGAACCGGAGAUAUGACCCUCAGUCGAAUAAUGGAGAUUGCCACCAAAUACGCAAACGGUGAAGAAGAGGACAGGCUCCGGAGUGGCAAGUAUAAGCCGAGUCAAUCGGAAAAAGGAAACUCCAGUCGGAAGCAGAAGCGGAAGGCCGAGCCAGCCGCUCCUGGAGAGGCUCUGGCCGUGACUCAGGGCAAAUUCAAAGGGAAGCCCAAAGGAUCUUGGAACCCGAAGAAGGUAAAGGAUAAAGAAGGAAAUGACGUGAUGGAUCUACCGUGUCACAUCCACACGAAGAAAGAUGAAGAGGGUAACUUCAUCUACCCGAAACACACCACUCGCCAGUGCCGGCUCUUAAUCCAGCAGUUUCAAGGAAAACAGCCCAAGGACAAAGAGAAGGAGUCGGACAAGGCCGAGGACAAGGAGGACAGUGAUGGAGGGUAGCCUCAUGUCAAUUCCAUCCUGAUGAUUUUUGCUGAUGUAGAGAGCAAAAGUUGACUGAAAGUGAUCAACUGAGAGGUAAAUAUGGUCGCCCCGGCGACACCAAGCUAUCUGAAAUGGUCGCAAACUCCCAUUACAUUCGACCAAUCCGAUCACCCCACUCACAUUGCCACCCCUGGGAGGCAAGCGCUGGUGGUCGACCCAGUCGUCGAAGGCACUCGACUGACGAAGGUAUUGAUGGAUGGCGGCCGUGGGUUGAAUAUACUAUAUGCAAAGACGCUCAAGGGGAUGGGCAUUCCGAUGUCCAGGCUCAGCUCCAGCAACAUGAGUUUUCACGGGGUCAUUCCUGGAAAGAAGGCUGAGUCACUCGGUCAAAUAGCUCUGGAUGUAGUGUUCGGCGACUCGAAGCAUUUUCGCAAAGAGAAGCUGACAUUUGAAGUCGUGGAUUUCCAGAGCGCUUACCAUGCUAUUUUGGGAAGACCAGCCUAUGCCCGCUUCAUGGCUCAUUAUUUCUCUGAUCAUGACAUUACAGUCGUCAGCGACGCACCAUUGUCAGAGAUUCUGCACAAUAGAGACGCAACUGGUCGAGUGGCUAAAUGGGCGAUUGAACUCCUUCCCAUUGAUAUCAAAUUUGAGGCAAAGAAAGCCAUUAAGUCCCAGUCUAUAGCAGAUUUCCUUGCCGAGUGGAUCGAACAACAGCAGCCGACUCAAGUUCACUCGGAGCAUUGGACCAUGUUCUUUGAUGGCUCUAAGAUGUUAAAUGGUUCUGGUGCUGGGGUAGUUUUGGUUUCCCCCCGAGGAGAUAAGCUCAGAUAUGUGCUCCAGAUCCACUUUGAUUCCUCCAACAAUGAAGCAGAAUAUGAAGCACUUUUGUAUGGGUUGCGCAUGGCCAUUUCACUCGGCGUCCGUCGCCUUAUGGUUUAUGGCGACUCAGAUUUGGUGGUCAAUCAGGUGAUGAAGGAGUGGGACGUUAGAAGCCCAGCCAUGACUGGAUACUGCAAUGCAGUGAGGAAGCUCGAAAAGAAAUUCGAAGGGUUAGAGCUCCACCAUAUACCCCGAUUGAAAAAUCAAGCGGCUGAUGAUUUGGCGAAGAUAGGAUCCAAGAGAGAAGCCAUCCCCAGUGAUGUGUUCUUGGAGCAUAUCCAUACUCCAUCGGUCAUAGAAGACCCUUUUACCGACGAAGCCCCGCAACCUAAGAGUGUUACGGAUCCGACUGAGGUUGAAGUUCCUGCGGUGGUCGACCUGGUCAUGGAAGCUUUGGUGAUCACUCCCGAUUGGAUAGUACCGUAUAUCGCGUAUAUCUUGAGGAAAGAGCUCCCGGAGGACGAAGAAGAGGCUCGACAGAUCGUCCGCCGAUCUAAAGCCUUUACUGUGAUAAGGGGGCAGCUGUACAGAGAAAGCGCGACUGGAGUUGGUCAGAAAUGCAUAACGCCAGACGAAGGUCGAAUAAUCCUUGAUGACAUCCACUCGGGGACCUGUGGCCAUCAUGCGUCUUCCCGGACCAUUGUGGCCAAAGCAUAUCGAGCCGGAUUUUAUUGGCCAAGAGCGAAUGAAAUGGCAAAGGAGAUAGUCGACAAGUGCGAGGGAUGUCAAUUUUACUCCAAUAUGUCACACAAGCCCGCCUCAGCUUUAAAAACCAUACCACUCGUUUGGCCCUUUGCAGUAUGGGGGUUGGAUAUGGUCGGCCCUUUGAGAACAGGCAGAAGCGGUUUCACCCAUGUGCUGGUAGCAGUCGACAAGUUCACCAAGUGGAUUGAGGCCAAACCCAUCAAGAACCUCGAUGCCGGUACUGCUGUCAGCUUUAUCAGAGAAUUAAUAUUCAGAUAUGGAGUCCCGCACAACAUCAUCACUGACAACGGGUCAAACUUCGAUUCCGAAGAAUUCAGAGCUUUCUGCAUGUCUCAAGGCACACGAGUCGACUAUGCUUCAGUUGCCCAUCCGCAGUCGAAUGGACAGGCAGAACGAGCCAACGGCCUGAUUCUCAAAGGGUUGAAACCCCGUUUGAUGCGUGAUCUCAAGCAUGCGGCUGGUGCAUGGGUCGACGAACUUCCCUCGGUACUUUGGGGGUUAAGGACCAUGCCCAACCGGUCGACUGGAAGAACUCCGUUCUUCUUGGUCUACGGAGCUGAAGCGGUCUUGCCGAGUGACCUUCUCCACAAUGCUCCUCGGGUCGAGCUCUACACCGAGGCUGAAGCAGAACAAGCAUGGCAGGAUGCAGUCGACCUUUUAGAGGAAGAAAGGGAGAUGGCCCUAAUCCGAUCGACCAUUUAUCAACAAGACUUGCGUCGCUUCCACGCCAAAAACGUGAAGAGUCGAGCCUUCCAGGAAGGAGAUUUGAUUCUCCGAGUGGAUCAGCAGAAACCACACAAGCUUGCUCCUUCUUGGGAAGGUCCCUUCAUCGUCACCAAGGUUCUCCACAAUGGAGCAUAUCGUCUCUACAAUGUCGAGCAUCAGAUCAACGAGCCCCGAGCUUGGAACGCGGAGCUUCUCUGCCCCUUUUACACUUAAGUAUUCACUCGGAUGAGUUGUAAUAAAAGUACUUCUGUAGUUUAUUUAUCAAAGACAAGAGCUUUAUAAUUUUCCCAGUAAUUGUUAUUACUUUUGUCCACAUAAAGCAAUCCCCCAGUGGGUGGCUUGGCUGCGAAUCUGAUUCGCCUAAGUCUGUAAAAAAAUCCUAACUGAGUGAUAAGCCAGCCUCCCACUCGAAGGCUUAGCUGCGAAAUCCGUUUCGCCUAAGUUAAACAAAAUCCUACCGAGUGGUAAGCCAGCCUUCCACUCGGAGGCUUAGCUGCAGUCCAAGCACUCGCCUAAGUUAAACAAAAUCCUACCGAGUGGUAAGCCAGCCUUCCACUCGGAGGCUUAGCUGCAGUCCAAGCACUCGCCUAAGUUAAACAAAAUCCUACCGAGUGGUAAGCCAGCCUUCCACUCGAAGGUUUAGCUGCAGUCCAAGUACUCGCCUAAGUUAAACCAAAUCCUACGGAGUGGUAAGCCAGCCUUCCAUUCGGAGGCUUAGCUGCAGCAUCACGCUCGCCUAAGUUCAAAUACAACAUGCGCUCUGCAAGGGAGACGAGGUGCAGGUCGACUACUACCCUCUCCUUCCGAGCUACGCCACAAAUACAACGUGCGCUCUGCAAGGAGGACGAGGUGCAGGUCGACUGCUACUCUCUCCUUCCGAGCUACGCCACAAAUACAACGUNNNNNNNNNNNNNNNNNNNNNNNNNNNNNNNNNNNNNNNNNNNNNNNNNNNNNNNNNNNNNNNNNNNNNNNNNNNNNNNNNNNNNNNNNNNNNNNNNNNNNNNNNNNNNNNNNNNNNNNNNNNNNNNNNNNNNNNNNNNNNNNNNNNNNNNNNNNNNNNNNNNNNNNNNNNNNNNNNNNNNNNNNNNNNNNNNNNNNNNNNNNNNNNNNNNNNNNNNNNNNNNNNNNNNNNNNNNNNNNNNNNNNNNNNNNNNNNNNNNNNNNNNNNNNNNNNNNNNNNNNNNNNNNNNNNNNNNNNNNNNNNNNNNNNNNNNNNNNNNNNNNNNNNNNNNNNNNNNNNNNNNNNNNNNNNNNNNNNNNNNNNNNNNNNNNNNNNNNNNNNNNNNNNNNNNNNNNNNNNNNNNNNNNNNNNNNNNAGGACGAGGUGCAGGUCGACUGCUACUCUCUCCUUCCGAGCUACGCCACAAAUACAAUGUGCGCUUUGCAAGGAGGACGAGGUGCAGAUCGACUGCUACUCUCUCCUUCCGAGCUACGCCACAAAUACAACGUGUGCUCUGCAAGGAAGACGAGGUGCAGGUCGACUGCUACCUCCUUCUCCAGAGAUACACCUUGAAAAUCCUACCGAGUGAAGAGCAAACCUCCCACUCGGGGGCUUAGCUACAGCCCAGUGCUCGCCUAAGUUUUUGAAAAUCCUACCAAGUGGAGAGCAAACCUCCCACUCGGAGGCUUAGCUGCAGCCCAGUGCUCGCCUAAGUUUUUGAAAAUCCUACCGAGUGGAGAGCAAACCUCCCACUCGGAGGCUUAGCUGCAGCCCAGUGCUCGCCUAAGUUUUUGAAAUUCCCACCGAGUGGAGAGCAAACCUCCCACUCGGGGGCUUAGCUGCAGCCCAGUGCUCACCUAAGUUUUUGAAAAUCCCACCGAGUGGAGAGCAAACCUCCCACUCGAGGGCUUAGCUGCAGCCCAGUGCUCGCCUAAGUUUUUGAAAAUCCCACCGAGUGGAGAGCAAACCUCCCACUCGGGGGCUUAGCUGCAGCCCAGUGCUUGCCUAAGUAUAUCAGGGAACAAGUCGAUUGCAAUGAGCACUCCGCUUUAGCCUGCAAAAGACACCUCAAACCAAAUGCAAACAUAUCCAACGUCGAAUCCAAGUUCGGAUAAUACCUAACGGAACAGAAAGUUCUCAGGUGCUAAGGCUGUUAAGGUUUGUCGGUUACAAAACUCACUCGGCAUACCGAGGCAAAUUUAAAGUAUCAAGCUCAGAAGUUUUUUACCCCUCCUGUGGAGGGCUGGAAGGUGCAACAAACUCAUCCAGGUCGAUUCCAUCUGCAAUCCGAGUGGCAGCGGCGAUGAAGGUCUCCAUGAAAGAUCAGAAAUCAUGCUUCUUGGUGUUGGCCACCCUAAGGGCCACCAGCUUGUCCUCUCGUGCAUCCUUGCAGUGAACGCGGACCAGAGACAGAGCAACAUCCGCGCCACACCUGGCAGAAGACUUCUUCCACUCCUGCACUCAACUUGGGACCUCGUUCAGUCGAGUCACCAGAGACUCGAGGUCGUUCUGGAGUGUCUCUCUUGGCCAGAGUGUUGCGUCGAUGCGAGAAGUUGCGACCUUCAGCCUUGCGAGAUAGUCGACGACAGCAGCGACGCGAGAUUCAAGCCGGAGCACAUUCAUGGCGACUUCAUCUUUCACGGGAGAGUUGAUGGGAUCCAGGUUUAUUUCCAGUCGACCAGUCUCCUCUUCAAAGUUCUAGCAAAAUUCUGCAAGCACAACCACCGAGUCAAGACAACAGUCGGAGAUCACAGUUAAAAUGUCUGUUUGAUACAAAAGAUUACCUUCAAGCAUGAGGAAUAGCUUCUUGGCGAGUCCACCCAGAUAAGCCUCCAGAUCGUUCUUUUUUCCCACCAACUCACUGGCCUUGUCGUUCAGGGCAAUCUUGUCACUUUUUAGUCGACUGACCUCCUUGUUGGCAGCAUCCAGAGCAACUUUCAGAUUGGUGUUUUCUUCUUCAAGCUUGGUGACUGAAGCCAGCUUCUCAUCUGCGAGUUUGGUCUUCUCUAAAGCCGCUUUCUGCAUCUCAGCCAAGUCAAGGUCUUUUUUCUUCAGGGCAUCCCUCACUUUUUCUGCAAAGUUACAGUGAGAUCAGACUCUGAAACAAACGAGAGGCAAAGGCAGUCGUCGGAGGCCUCACCAAACAUACCUUUAGCUUCCUCCUUCGCCUUCGUUAGGUUCUCUUGGGUCAUUUUCAGAUCAAGCUCGAGCUGGAUGUGUUUGUUCUCCAACUCAGUAUACCAAAGUGUUCUAAUUACUUUAGCAUGUGAUAAAUUUAAGCACCAGACUUAAGUCUUUCUGGAGAUAUUGAUAAUUUUCUUUGAAUUUUUUUAAAUUUUAUCAAACUUAUGAAUCUUGAUCAGGUAUUGAUAAAUUUCUAAACGAAAUGUCAAACCCGUUUUUCUCCUCGGUUCUCGUGUAUGCUGAUAAUUGUCGAAAUCUAAAUAUUUUUAGUAGUAUUCUAAAUGCGUGCAAAUUUUUAUGAAGAAUCAAUUUCGAAGAGCUUGUUGCAAGAAAUUGAAUGGUGGAUAUGGAUCAUAAUUUUGACUCUCAAUUUAGAAGUUGCUGCCCUUUGAAAUGACAAAACACAUAAGAAAAUCCAAACUUUGUCUGUUGUAUGUGGCAAGUGGGGGAGAGAGUGCAAUGUGGAAUUUGGGCCGGGUUUUUCCAUUUUAGGAUGUGGGGUUGGGCAAUUUAUACAAGUGGUGUGUGCUUAAUUGGACUUUUCAACAAACGAUUUGUCCUCUAGACGCGUCCAACCUUUAAAUUGUCAUACAGGUCGCUUUAAAUCCAUACAUAACACUGAAGACAUAAGAAUUGGUAGGUGCGCGUUCUAAUACAUGUAGAAUUACUAAAUCCACACAAAACAGGGGGCCAAAAAGAUGAUAUCAUCGGAUAUAAUAAACUCAAUUCUCAAAUAAGACAAUACAUUUUAUAGCUCAAAUCAUUUAUCAGAUUAAUGAUUCGUUUUCAUUGUUAGCUUCAUUUCAAGGAGAGCUUCAAAACUAAUACUUCUGCAUAUUUUAACAUUUUUUUGCUCUUUUGCUUUCCACACAAAAAUAUAUUAGUUGCCAUGUGGGGCGUUUCUACACCCAAGCUCAGCUGCACCCGUCUAUGAAUAGUAAAAUAGAAAAAAUAUAAAAGAAACUCAAUUUUUUUUUGGAAUUUUUACACAUCAAAGUUGAGAGAGUCUUCUAGGCGCGUCGAGAAUUUCAUAAAUCGCUGGGUGGUAAUUUCAGAAGGAGAUUUUUCUUUUGUCGAACAUACUCAUAUAAGUAGUUCUCAUAAAAAGAAUACUUGUAUUGUUCUUUAGUGUAUGCACUGAUUAGUUACUGAUGUGGAAACAUAUAACGGUUUAAGGCUAAUCAGAAGGAGCACGGGAGAUGGCAGCGAGCGAAAGUAAUCCUGAAAGUGAUAUUGGUGGGGCGCCAUUUGUUGGAAAAACCAACCAAUUGCCUGUUGGCCAUGCAACGACUUGCAUGCCCUUAAUUUUCAAAGUCUUCCAUUGACCAAUGAGGCAGUGAACAGUGAACACACACAUCAUCGCCCAAGUACAAAUCUACACAUCUGCUUCCGGCUUCAGGCCUUGAUCCAUUCUUCCUCCAUCUCCUCCAUCAGGCUUGAGGCUUCAACCAGAUCACAACUCUCAAGUUACCAGCUAGCCAUGGGUGCCAAGACCACCUCAUGCUUCACCUUCCUCAUGGAAGCGCUGGUCCUCCCCACGCGAAACCCCAAGCUCUUCGCCCCCAUCCUCAUCCUCCUGGCCAUCAUCGCCUUCCUCGUCCCCGCGGUCAACGUGGUCCUCAUCCAGCCGCUCACCGCUGAGAUGCUCCGCCACGUCACCGAGAUGCAGACCACCGACCCCUCGAGCGCCGAGUUCGCCAGGCUCCUCGAGGAGAUACGGCAGGAGGCCAGGGAGCUCGUCCUCAUCGCCGUCGGCCUCUUUUUCGUCACCCUAGCUCUCGUCUUCGCCAAGCAGAUCCUCGCCUUCUCCGCGGCCUCCACGACUUACUCCGGCGACCGCUACUCGCUCGCGGAGCUCCUCCGAAGGGUGACCGAGUGGGGCAAUCUGAGGGGCCCUCUCGUCACCAUGGGCGUGGUCACCGCGCUCCAGCUCACGUUCAUGGCGCUACUGGGCACCUACCUCGCCACCGUCAUGCGCCACGCGGGGGCGCUCUCCGUGCAAGGCGCGCUCUUCGUCCUCGCCUUCCUGGCCUUCAUGUACUUCGGGGUGGUGGCCGUGGUGGGCGUCGCCGUGUCGGUGGCCGACGGGGGGUGCCGCGGCGUGCGCGCGCUCCUGCGGGCGUGGCGGCUCAUGACGCGGGUGAGCAGGAAGGAGGGCGCCCUGCUGGCGGCGGUGAUGGUCCUCCUGUCGACCGCUGUGAGCCCGGUGUACGCGCUAGCGCUCGUGUACGCCAAGAAGAGCAUGGCGGUGGGGCUGUGCCUGCUGUUUGGGUAUGCUCUUCUGUCUGCUACGGUGGAGCUGUUCUACAUGGCGGCGGCCACUGUGUACUGCUAUGAGGCCAUGGAGAGCAAGGAGGUGGUCCUAGCUUUUGAUGGCUAUGCCAAGAUACCUUCCGGUGAGGCAAAUGUCUGAUCGAUCGGCCGGCACCGUAUAAUGAGUCAUAUACUUUGUGGUGCUUCCUAGCUGUGCGAUCAUUAUCAUUGUACUACUAGGCAUAUAUGGUACUACUAGUACAAAUGCCCGUGCGUUGUACCGGACAAAAUAUUAAGUAUAAAUUGCUCCACGUGCCAUUAUGUAACAUUUUUUCAUAUAAUUUUUUGCAAACAUUAGAAAUAAGGUCAAUGUAACCUUUGAGUGUAGCAAUUACGAUCUCAACGCACCGCGAUCUAGUAGUGUUCGUGCAACAGGACUGUAAUGACUGAAAUUGUUGUCUUUCCUCUAAAAGAAGCAGAAAAAAGGCAACUUGCAAAAAGUAGGGCUCGACAAUAUUUUUAUCUGUGG